rnacentral:rRNA from 1 species
GACGAACCGCCUGGCGGCGUGCCUAAUACAUGCAAGUCGAGCGGACUUUUAAAAGCUUGCUUUUAAAGUUAGCGGCGGACGGGUGAGUAACACGUGGGCAACCUGCCUGUAAGACUGGGAUAACUUCGGGAAACCGGAGCUAAUACCGGAUAAUCCUUUUCCUCUCAUGAGGAAAAGCUGAAAGACGGUUUACGCUGUCACUUACAGAUGGGCCCGCGGCGCAUUAGCUAGUUGGUGAGGUAACGGCUCACCAAGGCGACGAUGCGUAGCCGACCUGAGAGGGUGAUCGGCCACACUGGGACUGAGACACGGCCCAGACUCCUACGGGAGGCAGCAGUAGGGAAUCUUCCGCAAUGGACGAAAGUCUGACGGAGCAACGCCGCGUGAGUGAUGAAGAUUUUCGGAUCGUAAAACUCUGUUGUUAGGGAAGAACAAGUACAAGAGUAACUGCUUGUACCUUGACGGUACCUAACCAGAAAGCCACGGCU